UUCCUCUGUGAACAAGAACUCUUUAAAAGUUCAAUAUGUUCUCUUUUACCCGCGCCUUUUUAUCUGAACGGAAUCUCAAGUCGUGGUAGCUCGCUCUUUCUCUUGUGGGUUGCAACUGAUUUUCUUGUAAUGGUUGAAGUACUUCUUUGUUUUUGAAAAUUUAAAGGAGCCAAUGCUAUUGUUGCCGUAAUAAUUUGGUCGUAUCUACUUAUUUUGUUGCUUAUGGGAACUCGAUGUAUUGUGUUCUAGCUAAGAUUAAGAGAUGAGGCUUCUUUUUACCGAAGUGUAAGUAACAUUGUCCAGACCUCUUUGUCCAGGGGCAGGUCUAAUGUUGAGCAUAUCAUCCUAGAUCUGGCUCAUAAUGCUACACAAUUGUCUUUUUAAAAGGAAACCUUUGGUUUUUUGAGGUGUUAAUCUUCGAUUGUAGCAAGGUUUAUCCAGAACCAACACUUGUCCCAGGUUGGCGUGUUAAAAGCAAAAAGAUUUCAGAUAUUCUGCUCUCAUAAUCUGUAAUUUAUUCCAUUACUCAAGCUGAUGUAUACUUCUUUUUUAUGUCCUGGAACGAUGUUUUGAUGAUCUGAUGUUAUGUAUUAGAGUAGACAGCUAUAGAUAGUGAUUACUUUAUCUCUUAUUUUAUUUUUUUUUCCCUCUGUCAAGCCCACCUCAAUAUGGCUUCAGAUAUAGGAGCAUAUCAUUUAGGGAACUCAUAGAAUGGAAGAAAGAUAUUAUAUGAUAUAGUUGUCCUUAAUGUUGGAAUGUUACAAUUUGGAUUGCAUUUAAAACAAAUUCCAGUUUUGAGUUAUUACUUUAUUACUAGUGUUGUUAUUAUUAUUAGUAUUAUUUAAUGUUCAUAGAUUGAUCCAAUUGGAUGGAACUUUUGCUUUUAUGAAUUGUAGGCACAGGUUUGCAUAAUUUUCCAGAGGGAAUGGCAGUUUACCCUCUGCCUUGUUUGUACUGCUCCAGUACGCGAGUGUAUUGAAUUGUUUAUCCCAAGGUUGAUGCAUUGCAGAUAGAAAAUCUUAGCCAUUUUAGGUUGCUGAAAAUAAGGACCAGAUCCACCACUUUUCUUACCAGAUCUCUUACAUAGCUCUUCCAAGACUUUCCUUUUCAAAUUCUGUAAUUGCGCUUUAUGUGCUGUCACCUUCAAACGCCACCAAUUACUCUCCACAAUACCAAUAGUCCCUCAAUCACUUCUCAUGGUUUCAGUGGAAACUAAUUUAAUGUAUAUAAACUUCUAAUUAUUUUGGCAACUGGCUGUCAUUGAUGGCUUUGUGAACUUUUGGUUCAACACUUAUUAUUGUGCUCCUCACUUCUGCUGUUUGGAAAUGUGCUUCCUGGCCUACAUGUUGGUCUUAAUUAGGGUUUGGCCAUUGCUUUGCACAAUAUUAAAGAGGUGCACAUUCUCAGAUCCUUAACAUGGCCCCUUCUUUGUGCAUUGGAAUGGUUAGUAUAUCCUUGUAAUUUAUGCUAUUUGUUCUUGCAAGUUCUUGCUCUCUGCAAUGUUUGGAAAAUUGAUCUAGGGAUUCUUUUUUUAAUAUAAGUUCAUUGAAUAUUACAUUUCACUCUUUUUGCGUGGACAAGCAAUUUUCUGAGAGUAUCCUUCUAAAUUAUUGAUGAAUCUUCUGUAAGAAAAAUAUAUCUCCUAUAAAGAUGCGCAAGUGGUGGAUGUCAAGAUAAUUUCCAUGUUGAGAGUCUGCUGUAGGGAUAGCAAUAUAGGGUGGUGCUGAGGAGGAAUGCUGAAUAAACGACAGAAGCGAACGUAGUGUUCACUACUACCCUUUUCUUUGUUAGAAAUGAUGUUUGUGAGCAUGGCCUUUAUUUAAAUUUAUAGGAUUGAUGAAGAACUGCUGCUUUGUAUUGGUGAUACCAGUUACGCUGGCCACAUUAGCACCAAAAUUUGAGCAGGAAUCCUCCUUUUGGUUGCCAAAGCAUUCGAAUCCUAAAGAAAGGCAGUCUUUCAAAUAACGCCAACAUUAACAGUACCAGUUGUUGCAUAGAACAUUCUGUUGUUAAUGUGGUGUAAUAUGGUCUAUAUUUUCAGCAUUUUUUGACUUCAACACUAUUAUCACAUAUUCAGGUCCUCGACUCUGGGUGUUGGGACCUGUUAAUGCAUGUGUGCAGUUUUUCCUCCUAUUAUAACUGCAUUUUUGUGUUUCAUCUCAACGGAUUAGGAUUUAUUACAUUGAGAAAAUGUCUAACAGGCUUGAUUUGUGUACCAAUCUGUUAGCAAUCCAAAACUUUUGAGGGUUUGCUGUAGGCAAAGGAAGAGAGGCACAGGAGAUCAAUAUCAGUCCUGGGAAAGGGAGAAUUGGGACAGCUGGGAAUAGAGACAAAAGGGGAUAAUAAAGUUAGCGAGAAUCACAGACGAGAAUGAUUGCUGCUUGGGAUCGGGGAAUAGAUAAAUAAGAGUGUAGUCACAAUAGAGGGCAUUAUCUGUAUUCUUAUUUUCUACUCUAAAAAGACAUCCUGCUUUGGCUAGCUUGAGGUAGAUGGGAGAUUUCUCCAGGAAUCCUUAUUGUAUCUUCUGAGGAGGUUCUUUUUUAGUAAGAUUAACACCUUUUCAUGUCAUAUGUUCUCUUAUUUGCUUCUCACUCUAUCAUUUUGGUUCAACCUGCAGGUGGUGUCUCUUAUGACCAAGACACGAAUGGACUGAGGAUUAGAAGCUUGAAUCGAUCAGAUGGAGAGAAGCAUGUCAAGUAUAGAAGAAGUCAUUGCUUCCCUGAAAUUAGAUCAAGACUAGAGGCUGCAAACAAUCCAAACAGAGCAGGAACAACAUUUUGCUCACCUUGAGACCUUACUUACAACCUUGGUACAUGGUAAAGUCCCUAUUGAUGAUGCGGAAGCAUCCACCAAAUCACUGGCACUCACUCAAUGACUUGCCUUUUACACCAAAUGGUGGUUUUGGAUAACCCAUCCAUGGCUAUUAAAAGGGUUGAGUCGCCCAAUUUUUAUGGCAUGGAUAUUGUUGCAUGGUUGGCUCGAGUUGAGCAGUAUUUUGCCAUCAACAAUACACGGGAUGACACAAAGGUUCAGUUGGCAUUGGUGUGCAUGGAAGGGUUGGCUUUGCACUGGGUACCUUGCGGCAACAAUCUUCCGUGGAUCAAUUUAUUGAUGAAGUCGUCGCUUUAGUGUCUAGGGUGAAUGGAAUAUCCGACCAACAGUCCCUUGGCUAUUUUCUCAGCAGAUUGCGUGAUGACAAGCGCUCUCUAAUUUGUUCCCAUGAAGCUGUUGAUUUAUGUCAAACUAUGACGAUUGCUCUGGAGGUGGAAUUAGAGAAUCAAUUUCUUUCCCCUUUAUGCAGGUCAAAAAUUCUAUGGAUGGUGCUCAGAGAUGGACGUCUGGACCUGAGCCUAGGCCCGGGACAAAGGAUGAAAGUCCAACACCCUUGAAGAGUUUACCCUUAUUAACCAAUGCUCUGACCGAACCCUCUUCCAAAUUGAUUGACAAAACCUCAUUCACCUCUGCCAAAAACACCUCCACAGCCACCUCUUCUCCACGACCUACCAGUAUGCCGAUGCGCAACAGGGGUCUAGACAUUACACCCAUCAAGAGUUUCUUUAUUUGAGAGCGAAAGGUCUUUGCUAUAAGUGUAAGAAACCUUUUCACCCACCUCUUCUCCACGACCUACCAGUAUGCCGGUGCGCAAUAGGGGUCCAGACAUUACACCCAUCAAGAGCUUCUUUAUUUGAGAGUGAAAAGUCUUUUUUGACAAAGGAAGAAGCAAAUAUUAGGGAAGUGGCUUUCGAAAUUCUUAAGGUAACCAUAACUGAUGAAGCUCAUUUCUCUAAUAUUGAAAUGAGUCGUUUUAUUCUAUCGGGGUAUUUCUUCACUCAAGACAAUGAAAUUAAAGGCUUGGGUAAGUUGGCAAGCAAUAACCGUUAUGAUCGACAACGACGCAACACACAACUUUAUUUCUGCUCAAAUUAGUUUCCAGCUACAGAUUGCUAUGUAGACCACUCUCACAUUUGGAGUAAAAUUGGGAGAUGGGCACAUGGUGGAAUCAUCUGGAAGGUGUUGCAAUAUUCGCAUUAAUCUGGAUCCAAUUGAAAUGCCAGUAGAUUUUUUUAUUUUUCCCCUUGGUGGUGUAGAUCUGAUUUUGGAAAUGGCUUGAUUGGAAUCUUUGGGAAGGCAAAUUAAUUGGGCAACCAAACACAUGACAUUUCGGUAUCAAGGGUAAUUGGUCACGCUGCAAUCUAGCUCUCACUAAAGCUCUAGUUUCGACUGCUUAUUUACAGAAACUCAAGGAUGUUGAGCUCUCAAUGUUGUUAUGAGAGAUUGAUGGUAGUUAGCCUUCUUUCUCAAUGGAGGCCGAAAUCAAUCAAUCUUAGCAGCAGGAAUUGGACCAAAUAUUAACUCCCUCCAAGGAAUUAUUCUUUGAUGUGACAAGUCUACCUCCGAGCAGGAUCAUUGAUCAUGAAAUUCCUUUAAUAAAAGACACUAUUGCAGUAAAUGUCUGGCUAUAACGCCAUGGACACUUUCAUAAAUAUGAGAUAGAGAAACUGGCCAAUUCCAACGAAUCUAAAAGCAAUACGGGGUUUUCUUGGAUUGACCGGUUAUUGCCGACGUUUUGUUAAGGGAUAUGAAUCCAUCGCUCAACCUUUGACUCAACUCCUUAAAAAAGAAAAUUAAAUGCCCUUUCAAUGGCCAAAAUCAACACAACAAGCCUUUGAUAAUCUUAAGAAGGCUUUGGUUUCUUCUCCAGUUUUAGCAACCUCUGAUUUUUCCGAAACAUUUGUUAUCGAAUGUGAUGCAUCUGGAAGGUGUGUGGGGCAGCUUUGAUGUAGGAUCGACCCAAUAGCAUACUUCAGCAAAAUCUUUUCUCCUAAAAAUGUCAAUAAGUCCACAUAUGAGAAAGAACUGAUGACUUUAGUAUUGGCUAUUCGGCAUUGGAGGCCAUAUCUUCUAGGUCACAAAUUUGUUGUCCACAAUGAUCAAAGUAGUUUGCGUCGUAUGCUGAAUUAGUAGAUUCAUACACCAGCUCAACAAAAUUGGGGAGCUAAGUUGCUUGGCUAUGAUUUCAAAAUUUUGUAUAAGGCGGGUAAAACAAACUCUGCAGUAUUGUCAAUGGUCAGACAGAGGUCUUAAACAGAGGGCUGGAAACUUAUUUAAGAUGCUUUGCAUCAGAACAGCCUCGAAAGUAGCAAAAGUGGCUUUGAUGGGCGAAGUUUUGGUAUAAUUCAAGCCACCACAUAGUUGCGGGCAUGUCUCCCUUUGAGGCAGUUUAUGGUCGACCCUUUCGAUGCUGCAGCAUUACUUACCUGGAGAAACUAAAGCAAAGGCCGUAGCUUGAGAGUUGCUCACUCAAGAUGAGUUGUUAAGACAAUUGUCUUUCAACUUAAAAAGGGCCCAAUAAAGAAUGGUUAAAGCAACCAACAAAUAUAGAAGAAAUGUAGAGUUUGAGGUGGGAGAUUUAGUGUUUCUCAAAAUUCGACCCCACAGACAACUUCUCUGAAUCCUACAAUCCAUGCCAAGCUGACAACCUAAUAUUACAGUCCAUUCUAAAUUAUUCAAAAGAUAGGGAAGGUCGCCUAUCGUCUACAAUUACCUGAAGAAGCAAGGAUCCAUCCUGGAGCUGAAAAAGGUCGUAGGACAACAUAUGGUUACCUCAGCACUACCUAAAGGGCUGGAAGUGGAGGAGAAAGGAUUUGCACCUGAACAUAUUCUACGAAGGAAGACGUCUCUGAAUCAUCCUACAGGCAGCAAGUUACUAAUUAAGUGAGAAGGGAAACCAGAGGAUGAAGCUACAUGGAUGGAUUAUACAGACUUAUCAACUAAUUUCCUUAUUUUAGCCUUGUGAACAAGGCUAUUAAUUAGGAGGGAGGCAUUGUUAGCAAUCCAAAACUUUUGAGGGUCUACUAUAGGCAAAGGAAGAGAGGCAUAGGAGAUCAGUCCAAGGAAAAGGGAGAAUGGGGACAGUUCGGAAUAGAGACAAAAGGGGAUGAUACAUUUAGCGGGAAUCACGGACGACAAUCAAUAGGAAAUGAUUGUUGCUUGGGAUCAAGGAAUAGAUAAAUAAGGGUGUAGUCACAAUAGAUGGCAUUAUCUGUGUUCUUAUUUUCUUCUCUAAAAAAGCAUUACUGCUUUGGCUAGCUUGAGCUAGACAGGAAAUUUUUCCAGAAAUCCUUAUUGUAUCUUCUGAGGAGGUUCUUUUUUAGUAAGAUUAACAUAUUUCCCUAUCAUAUACUUUCUUAUUUGCUUCUCACUCUAUCACAAUCUCAGUGAGUUGCAGGCAUUCAAAUUGGCAAUGCUUUCUGAAAUUCUUGAGGGUCUGCUAAGGUCAGGUUGCACUACUAUUUGUUCCUCAUCAUCUAAGUGAUUAGGGAAAAUUAAUUAUUAGCAUUUCUCUAUACUAAUUUAUCCAAAUUGAUGGUUUAUCUUUUAUUUUGUCAAAUUUCAACUGUUAUUUAUGCCGAUUAGUUUUUCAGUAAUUGCUGAUAUUGAGCAUUGCGUUUGUGAUCUGUUUGUUGUUGCAUUUGAAAUCCGAGAAAUGGAAAGCUCUGUUUAAGUGUUAAUUAUAUAUUGAUCCGGUUAAAAAAUUGGUUCUGGUCACUGCUGCUCAAUUCGGUUAAAGAACUGCUAGAAGGGAGACGGGAAACAAGAAAGUCAUAACCUGGAGUCAUGGGCAACAAUACUGUGUCCUCCAUGCUAUGACAUGGAGUGUAAUGACCUUUUACUCUGUAUUAACACACUUUUGGGAAUUUUAAUCUUAAAUGAGAUUUGUAAUGGUUGCUGAA